rnacentral:rRNA from 1 species
AUGGCUUUCAUGGGGUUCAGCUACGCACAGGUACACGUGAAGCAAGAGAGACUGAUGAGAAGGAUUAGCGACAACAAGAAGGCUUCGGCAACGGCGACGGUAGACAAGUCGAUGACCCGAGAGGAAGAGAUGAGGAAGGAGCGUUUCAUGGGUGAAGAGGAGAAGAAGGCAACUUGCAACUUAUGGACCGCCGGGAGGGUGCAUCCGUGCGCGUCUUCCCCGGCGGCUGCAGCGCCAAAGGGUGGGCACUGA